rnacentral:rRNA from 1 species
GACGAACGCUGGCGGCGUGCUUAACACAUGCAAGUCGAACGGAAAGGCCUGCUUUCCCUUGUGGAUUGCGGGUACUCGCGUGGCGAACGGGUGAGUAACACGUGAGUGAUCUGCCCCCAACUUGGGUAUAAGCCUGGGAAACUGGGUCUAAUUCCCGAUAGGACUGCAGGGUGGUGCCUGUGGUGGAAAACGAUUUUCUAGUGGUUGGGGAUGAGCUCGCGGCCUAUCAGCUUGUUGGUGGGGUAAUGGCCUACCAAGGCGGCGACGGGUAGCCGGCCUGGGGGGGUGGACGGCCACGUUGGGACGGAGAUACGGCCCAGACGCCUACGGGAGGCAGCAGUGGGGAAGAUUGCACAAUGGGCGGAAGCCUGAUGCAGCGACGCCGCGUGGGGGAUGACGGCCUUCGGGUUGUAAACUCCUUUCGACCGCGAGGAAGCCACCUGGUUGGAAGGGUGGUGACGGUAGUGGUAGAAGAAGCACCGGCUAACUACGUG